rnacentral:rRNA from 1 species
UACGUAGGGGGCAAGCGUUGCCCGGAUUUAUUGGGCGUAAAGAGCGUGUAGGCGGCCUGAAAGGUCAGCUGUGAAAACUCGAGGCUCAACCUCGAGACGUCGGUUGAAACCAUCUGGCUAGAGUCCGGAAGAGGAGUGUGGAAUUCCCGGUGUAGCGGUGAAAUGCGCAGAUAUCGGGAAGAACACCCGUGGCGAAGGCGGCACUCUGGGACGGUACUGACGCUGAGACGCGAAAGCGUGGGGAGCGAACAGG